rnacentral:rRNA from 1 species
GAGAUCUCCCUGAAGAGUCGUGGUAGACCACCACGUUGAUAGGUCACUGGUGUAAGUGCAGUAAUGUAUUCAGCUAAGUGAUACUAAUAACUCGUUCGGCUUGGUCAU